GAUGAAGAACGCAGUGAAAUGCGAUAAGUAGUGUGAAUUGCAGAAUUCAGUGAAUCAUCGAAUCUUUGAACGCACAUUGCGCCCUUCGGUAUUCCGUUGGGCAUGCCUGUUCGAGCGUCAUUUAAACCUUCAAGCUAUGCUUGGUGUUGGGUGUUUGUUCCGCCUCUGCGCGUGGACUCGCCUCAAAUUCAUUGGCAGCCGGUAUGUUGGCUUCGUGCGCAGCACAUUGCAAGCGACUUCAACAAACCUCCUUCCAUAAGCCUUUUUUUUACUUUGACCUCGGAUCAGGUAGGGAUACCCGCUGAACUUAAGCAUAUCAAUAAGCGGAGGA
rnacentral:misc_RNA from 1 species